AAAGGUAAUCCCUGCCCAAUGAUUAAUUAAAUGGCCGCGAUGUUAAAAGUUGUGCAAAGGUAGCAUAAUAAUUUUCUCUUUAAAUGGGAGGUAGGAUGAAAGGGCUAACUAAAUAUCUGCUGUGUUAGUGUGUGUUUAAAAAUUUAUAAGGAGGUUAAAAAUCCUUCUAAAUUUAAAGGGACGACAAGACCCUGGGAGCUUUGAAAUAUAUUAAGAAUAUAUUUAUUUAACUGGGGCGGUUAGUAAUAAAAACAUUUUUUUUUAUACAUAUUGUAUGGUUUAAGUGAUCAUAUUUUGAGCGUAAAGUUUAAGCUACCCCAGGGAUAACAGCACAAUUAUGCCAGAGAGUUUUAUCUAAGGUGUAGUUUGUGACCUCGAUGUUGAAUUAAGGAUAAUCCUCUUGAGGGAGAAAGCCUGGAGGGAAAGUUUGUUCACCUUUUAAAAA
rnacentral:rRNA from 1 species